ncrna:unclassified sequences Transposase-1 RNA
CGUUCAUAGAUUGUCCAUGUCGUUACCCACGAAAGUGGAUACGGGAAUACAAUUGUUGA